rnacentral:rRNA from 1 species
UACGAAGGGGCUAGCGUUGCUCGGAAUCACUGGGCGUAAAGGGUGCGUAGGCGGCUUUUUAAGUCAGGGGUGAAAUCCUGGAGCUUAACUCCAGAACUGCCUUUGAUACUGGGAAGCUAGGGUCCGGAAGAGGUGAGUGGAACUGCGAGUGUAGAGGUGAAAUUCGUAGAUAUUCGCAAGAACACCAGUGGCGAAGGCGGCUCACUGGUCCGGUACUGACGCUGAGGUGCGAAAGCGUGGGGAGCAAACAGG